UACGUAGGGUGCGAGCGUUAAUCGGAAUUACUGGGCGUAAAGCGUGCGCAGGCGGUUUUGUAAGCCAGAUGUGAAAUCCCCGGGCUUAACCUGGGAAUGGCAUUUGGGACUGCAAGGCUGGAGUGCGGCAGAGGAGACUGGAAUUCCUGGUGUAGCAGUGAAAUGCGUAGAUAUCUGGAGGAACACCGGUGGCGAAGGCGGCGUUCUGGACUGCAACUGACACUGAGGACCGAAAGCCAGGGGAGCAAACGGG
rnacentral:rRNA from 1 species